CAAGUCGAGCGGUAACAGAUCCAGCUUGCUGGAUGCUGACGAGCGGCGGACGGGUGAGUAAUGCAUAGGUAUCUGCCCGAUAGUGGGGGAUAACCUGGGGAAACCCAGGCUAAUACCGCAUACGUCCUACGGGAGAAAGGGGGCUCCGGCUCCCGCUAUUGGAUGAGCCUAUGUCGGAUUAGCUAGUUGGUGAGGUAACGGCUCACCAAGGCCGCGAUCCGUAGCUGGUCUGAGAGGAUGAUCAGCCACAUCGGGACUGAGACACGGCCCGAACUCCUACGGGAGGCAGCAGUGGGGAAUAUUGGACAAUGGGCGCAAGCCUGAUCCAGCCAUGCCGCGUGUGUGAAGAAGGCCCUCGGGUUGUAAAGCACUUUCAGCGAGGAAGAACGCCUAGCGGUUAAUACCCGCUAGGAAAGACAUCACUCGCAGAAGAAGCACCGGCUAACUCCGUGCCAGCAGCCGCGGUAAUACGGAGGGUGCAAGCGUUAAUCGGAAUUACUGGGCGUAAAGCGCGCGUAGGUGGCUUGAUAAGCCGGUUGUGAAAGCCCCGGGCU
rnacentral:rRNA from 1 species